rnacentral:rRNA from 1 species
GAAGGCCCAGACAGCCAGGAUGUUGGCUUAGAAGCAGCCAUCAUUUAAAGAAAGCGUAAUAGCUCACUGGUCGAGUCGGCCUGCGCGGAAGAUGUAACGGGGCUAAACCAUGCACCGAAGCUGCGGCAGCGAACGUAUCACCCAAGACAACUUUACGGAGUUGACGAUUGACGGAGCGAAGCGACGUCAAAGCGUUCAUUAAAGUCGAGUUGGCUUAGGGAUACGUUCGUUGGGUAGGGGAGCGUUCUGUAAGCCUGUGAAGGUGUGUCGUGAGGCAUGCUGGAGGUAUCAGAAGUGCGAAUGCUGACAUAAGUAACGAUAAAGCGGGUGAAAAGCCCGCUCGCCGGAAGACCAAGGGUUCCUGUCCAACGUUAAUCGGGGCAGGGUGAGUCGACCCCUAAGGCGAGGCCGAAAGGCGUAGUCGAUGGGAAACGGGUUAAUAUUCCCGUACUUGGUGUUACUGCGAAGGGGGGACGGAGAAGGCUAUGUUGGCCGGGCGACGGUUGUCCCGGUUUAAGCGUGUAGGUGUGUGUUCCAGGUAAAUCCGGUUCACUUUAACACUGAGGCGUGACGACGAGGCACUACGGUGCUGAAGCAACAAAUGCCCUGCUUCCAGGAAAAGCCUCUAAGCAUCAGGUAACAUCAAAUCGUACCCCAAACCGACACAGGUGGUCAGGUAGAGAAUACCAAGGCGCUUGAGAGAACUCGGGUGAAGGAACUAGGCAAAAUGGUGCCGUAACUUCGGGAGAAGGCACGCUGACACGUAGGUGAAGUGAUUUACUCAUGGAGCUGAAGUCAGUCGAAGAUACCAGCUGGCUGCAACUGUUUAUUAAAAACACAGCACUGUGCAAACACGAAAGUGGACGUAUACGGUGUGACGCCUGCCCGGUGCCGGAAGGUUAAUUGAUGGGGUCAGCGCAAGCGAAGCUCCUGAUCGAAGCCCCGGUAAACGGCGGCCGUAACUAUAACGGUCCUAAGGUAGCGAAAUUCCUUGUCGGGUAAGUUCCGACCUGCACGAAUGGCGUAAUGAUGGCCAGGCUGUCUCCACCCGAGACUCAGUGAAAUUGAACUCGCUGUGAAGAUGCAGUGUACCCGCGGCAAGACGGAAAGACCCCGUGAACCUUUACUAUAGCUUGACACUGAACAUUGAGCCUUGAUGUGUAGGAUAGGUGGGAGGCUUUGAAGUGUGGACGCCAGUCUGCAUGGAGCCGACCUUGAAAUACCACCCUUUAAUGUUUGAUGUUCUAACGUGGACCCGU